AGGGGGAGGUAACAAUCCGGAAACCGGGAACUAAAACCGCAUAGGUCUUCGAGCUGCAUGGCUUGAGAGGAAAAGAGGCGCAAGCUUCUGCUGAUGGAUGGACCCGCGGUGCAUUAGCUAGUUGGUGAGGUAACGGCUCACCAAGGCCGUGAUGCAUAGCCGACCUGAGAGGGUGAUCGGCCACAUUGGGACUGAGACACGGCCCAA
rnacentral:rRNA from 1 species